UUCUCACUUUGGCAAAAUAUACUAAACUUCGAAUGGUAAAAAAGAAAUUAACAUGAUCCUUGCAUAAGGAUGCCAUGCAAAAUAGUGAAUGCGUUCCAUAUUUUU